UACGUAGGCAGCGAGCGUUGUUCGGAGUUACUGGGCGUAAAGAGUGCGUAGGCGGUUUUCUAAGUUUGGUGUGAAAUCUCCCGGCUUAACUGGGAGGGUGCGCCGAAGACUGGAAGGCUUGAGUAUGGGAGAGGUAAGCGGAAUUCCUGGUGUAGCGGUGAAAUGCGUAGAUAUCGAGAGGAACACCUGCGGCGAAGGCGGGUUGCUGGGCUGACACUGACGCUGAUGCGCGAAAGCUAGGGGAGCGAACGGG
rnacentral:rRNA from 1 species